ensembl:lncRNA
GUGUUACAUGUGUGUACCGAUUUUUGUACAUGUACGUGAAACGUAGCUCAAGGCGCACUCCGUUGAAAAUGUAUAGGUGGCGCUAUCGAGGCAUUUUGCCACACCCGAUGGAAUAUUGGCCUUCAGAUUUGUUCAGGCCAGGACUCUUAUCGAACAUGUGAAGUUUGGGCAAGAUCGGACAUUUUAUGCCUGAGUUACAAUAACUUUUAUUCCCAUGGCGAGACAUCGAACUUUGUGACGGCGCCAUGGACACGCCCUUUAACGAAAACUCAAGAUCUUCACAAUUUAACAUCGCAC